UGGAAACUAAACUGCCACGGAAUAGCACCGUUGACCAACGGUCCGUACUCCCUCCCUAUCUUUUUCACUCUCCCCCUCUAUCUUCCCUUCUCUCCUCUUCUCUUCUUUUCUCUCUCUAUUCACCCUCCGCCUCCUCUUCUCUUCUCUUCUCUUCUCUUCUCUUCUCUCUCCCCUGAAACAAAGAAGGGAGAGAUCUCCAGUGUUCCUCUUCCUCGGAUUGCAGUGGCUUCCGAUAUUCCGGUCAUCCGCCAUAGCAUCAGAGCGUGCAAAGGGUUGCAGGCUGAAGCUGGGAUAGUCUGCAGGAAAGGAAAGGAUUGUAGCGAAGCGAUUGGAAGGCGAUGGGAGGCGUGCUGGUGAUCUCGGUGCCGUUACUUCUCCUGAUCGCGAUCCUGGCCCUUGCUUGCUACCUUUUCGGUAGGUCCCGGGGCCGGUCCUAGUGGAGGGCCCCGCAGUAUUUGGGCUGCCGGCCCAAAUACAGCCCAUCCUCCACCUGCUCCGGCCCAAGAGAAGGGCCCAACUACCCACAACAUGCGUUGCCGAGAAUGCUACAUUGUGUAUUUGCUCGGACCUUCUGUGGUGUGCUUUUAUUUAUAGGGAGUGACGUUUGUGGGUUUGGUAGCUUUUUGGCUUCUUUGUCGAGCAUGGAUUAUAAGUAAUAAUAUUAUAUUUGUUUUAUUGCUAUUCAGUUGAUUAA